rnacentral:pre_miRNA from 1 species
UUUCUACUCCCUCCGUCCGAAAAUACUUGUCAUCAAAAUGGAUAAAAAGAGAUGUAUCUAAAACUAAAACACGUCUAGAUACAUUUCCUUUUAUCCAUUUUGAUGACAAGUAUUUCCGGACGGAGGGAGUAUUUG